AGUUUAUUUGCCUGUGGAGAGUCCCACAUGGUCACAGGCCAGGAAAGCCAGCACAGGAAGUUGAUGUCACGCUUACAAGCCAACAUAAAAUCAUGUUUCUUUCUUCAGUCACUAGCAGCUGGGUCUAGUCAGUGUCAGGCAUUACGUCAUUAUCAAUGUUUGUCAGGGCAUCACCACUGAUUGGACCCUUUUAACAGCUUUAUCUGAUGCAGAGAGAAUAAUAUCUUAGCUGCAAAAGUGCUGUAUGUUCAAACAAAUCUUUGUUUUAUUUGCCUUCUCAAUGUUCUAAUUACUCCACUACAUCAGCACUCUGAGACAAUCAGUUCAUUAAGCAGUGAUUGGCUGGAGGCUGCAAUAAAUACCAACUCACUUCUGCACCCAAGUAGCUUCAGGGGAGCCGGGCUACUUUGGCUUUGAAAAGGUUGCUGAAACAGAGAAAUGACUUGUGGACUUGAUUUGGGGAUCUUGUUGAUUUGCUUAGUUCAAGCAGAGCUUGUUUGUUGUUCAAGGGCUAAAGAGGCACUGAGACCCCAAAAUAGCAACACAUAUGCUGGCUUCUCUCCACCAGACAGUAAACCAAGCAAAUUCACCAGACAUCUCCAGGACCAAUUCAGAGAAGGUUUCAGUUCUCCACGUUCAGUCCAGAGCAGCACAUUCAACAGUAACCCUGCAGUGAAUAGUGGUUCUGGUCUGAGACCCUCUACCAGAAGAUACACACCUCUGUCAUGGCCAGCUUAGAGUUCAAGAAGGCUGGGGCAGAGCGGCAUGGUUAUAAACCCAACCUGGAAGAAAACCUCUUCACAGAAGAGUAAUACCCAGUCAGUGCCAAAGCAGUCAUUUGCUCCUUCUAGUUCUGUUGGAAGAGCUUCUGUGAGUCAGCUCAGUGAAAACAAGAAGUUACUUUGAGAGGAAAGUAACUUUGGCGGCUCAACAGGGUACCUGGGGGAGUCCUAGGGAAUGCUUCUCCUUCAGGCUGGCAUUUCAUUGGGCUGCAGAACAGGAGCCUUCCUACAAAAGGCACACAACCUCAUCCGCCCCUUGUUUGGUCCAGUUGCUCCUGGCCCACACAAAAGCUCUCUGCAGAUGCAAACAUACGCCCAAGCCCCUGCAAGAAGAUCAUCUUUACGUCAAGCAUCUAGUUUGGUUAAGGCCAGGAGUCUUACACCUCAAACUGCAGCUUGGAAGCAACAUCUUAGCCCACAGUUUGCUUUGAAUGUUGGAGGUUCCAGGCGAAGGAGUCAGUUGCAGUUCAGUCCCCAGGAGCAGCCGAGUGGGAAUUUCUGAACCAGGCUUUGCUCCAAUGAUUGUAUAUGAGCUCCCUGAACACUUUGGCGGCUCUGCUAUCAGAUGGUUGAAGAGGCCCGAGAAGGUGUCUGCCCAGGAGCCACAGCAGAUCGCCACAUUACCGCAGAGGGUACCAGUCAACUCUCACCGUCCAAGUGUUUAUCCAGGGUCCAACUGGAAAAGGAUCAAGCUGCUUUACUGACUUCAGCAAAUGAGUGUCUAUAUGAAUAAUUUGUUUAACUACAAUGGACUCUUAACCUGUGGCUUUCUCUCAGCAGGUGUAUCUAUUAUGAACGCUACAUUGAAAUAAAGAGCUUUAUUUAUCUA